rnacentral:rRNA from 1 species
GUGAGGAAUUUUGCGCAAUGGGGGAAACCCUGACGCAGCAACGCCGCGUGAGUGAUGAAGGCUUUCGGGUCGUAAAGCUCUGUCAAGUGGGAAGAAUAUGCCCCGUGAUAAUACCAUGGGGCACUGACGGUACCACUGAAGGAAGCACCGGCUAACUCCGUGCCAGCAGCCGCGGUAAUACGGGGGGUGCAAGCGUUAUUCGGAAUCAUUGGGCGUAAAGGGCGCGUAGGCGGCCCCUUAAGUCAGAUGUGAAAGCCCUCAGCUUAACUGAGGAAGUGCAUUUGAAACUAAGGGGCUUGAGUAUGGGAGAGGGAAGCGGAAUUCCUGGUGUAGCGGUGAAAUGCGUAGAUAUCAGGAGGAACACCGGUGGCGAAGGCGGCUUCCUGGACCAAUACUGACGCUGAGGCGCGAAGGCGUGGGGAGCAAACAGGAUUAGAAACCCGAGUAGUCC